rnacentral:rRNA from 1 species
AUUGAACGCUGGCGGCAGGCCUAACACAUGCAAGUCGAACGAGUGGCGGACGGGUGAGUAAUGUCUGGGAAACUGCCUGAUGGAGGGGGAUAACUACUGGAACCGGUAGCUAAUACCGCAUACCAUCGGAUGUGCCCAGAUGGGAUUAGCUAUUAGGUGGGGUAAAGGCUCACAUAGGCGACGAUCCCUAGCUGGUCUGAGAGGAUGACCAGCCAAACUGGAACGGAGAAACGGUCAAGACUCGUACGGGAGGCAGAAGAGGGGAAUAUUGGACAAUGGGCGCAAGCCUGAUGCAGCCAUGCCGCGUGGAUGAAGAAGGCCUUCGGGUUGUAAAGUACUUUCAGCGGGGAGGCGUUACCCGCAGAAGAAGCACCGGCUAACUCCGUGCCAGCAGCCGCGGUAAUAC